GGGGGCGUACUGGUUUCGACUGGUGGUUUGAAAGAUAGACUGCAUGCCGAGGUUGAUCAGUUGGCCUCGUAAAAAGCUGAUCAAACAAACAAAAGCAAACGAAGAACCUGAACUUGCAAUGGCGGCCUAAUUAGGCCUCCCGUAGAUUGUCCGACGCCUGCUGAGGCAAUCUAUGACUACUUUAGCAGGCUGGCGUCAUGGCGGGUGUCCGGCCGUUGACGCGAGAGGUUACAGUGGCAAUCGGAGGUGAUGGAUUCUGUCGUUCGAAGCCACGACUCCUAAAUUAAAAGAUCGAAUAUGCAUGUAGACGUUUAUUUAGACGGCCAUUAGGACAGGGGUUCAACUCCCCUCGCCUCCAUAC
rnacentral:tmRNA from 2 species